GAUCUGGUCGAAUUCCAUAUACUCUUAUCAAGGAUACUCUUCGGAUUAACGAUGAUGAGGUGGAAUUAUGGGUAGUGAAGGCAAUAACUGCUAAGUUAAUCAACUGUAAAAUGGACCAGAUGUCUCAAGUUGUACUUGUUAGUAGCUGUGCCGAGCGUGUAUUUGGGCAGCAUCAGUGGCUGGCACUUAGAUUAAAACUAGCUACAUGGAGGGAUAAUAUUGCGAAUGUGAUAAACGCCAUCCAAGCUAACAAGAUAACUGAAGAUGGAUCACAGGCAAUGCAAGGGUUGAUGAUUCGUUAGGUUUCUUUAUUCAUAGUCAUUAGUUCCAAGGACAAUUUCCACGUGGAUUGUGGAGUGGGUGGGACGGUGAUCUGGGUCGAUGCUGUGUUACUUCUGGUUAUAAUUUUGUUUCAGUUAGAGCCAGUGUAUAGGGAAUUUUGACACAGAUGUUCUGACAUUCUUCUAUGGUGCAUGAUUUUACAGAGAGUGUAUGUAUCAUCUUCCAGUCUUCUGCAUUUAAUUUUGAUGUUAAAUUGAUUUUCAGGUUUCUUCAUAGAUUUUUCAUUAUGUUGUAAUUAAAUGUUUGG
rnacentral:misc_RNA from 1 species